rnacentral:misc_RNA from 1 species
GAUGAAGAAACGCAGCGAAAUGCGAUAAGUAAUGUGAAUUGCAGAAUUCAGUGAAUCAUCGAAUCUUUGAACGCACAUUGCGCCCGCCAGCAUUCUGGCGGGCAUGCCUGUUCGAGCGUCAUUUCAACCCUCGAGCCCCCCCGGGGGCCUCGGUGUUGGGGGACGGCACACCAGCCGCCCCCGAAAUGCAGUGGCGACCCCGCCGCAGCCUCCCCUGCGUAGUAGCACACACCUCGCACCGGAGCGCGGAGGCGGUCACGCCGUAAAACGCCCAACUUUCUUAGAGUUGACCUCGGAUCAGGUAGGAAUACCCGCUGAACUUAAGCAUAUCAAUAAGCGGAGGA